UUAACCACUCGGCCACGGGGCCAGCCCCUAGAUUUCAUAAAAUUUAUAGCUGAAAAACUUCAUAUACCCACGUUAUUCCAGUCACCCAUAAAAGUUUUCCAAUAACUGAAUUGAGUACCAAUUUCAAAGUCGAAUUAAUUAAAAUUAAAUAAAGUUUAAAACUUAGUUCCUCUGUUACCCUAGACACAUUUCAAGGGCUCAACAGUGUCAUGUGGCUGGUGGCUACCAUUCUGGACAGUAAGGUUAUCCCAUGAAGUCUCAAACUGCAUGACUGCUCCCAGGCCUCAGAGCAUGGCUCUUCCUGUUCUAAAGCCCAGGAGAGCUGAGGCUCUGCCCUCUCCUAGCUUGUCCUGCUCCCAACACCAUUGAUCUGUCUCCGGGCUCAGUUCCCGUGUCAGGCUCACACUGUGCAAUUACACAGAUGGCACACUUCAUAAUCCCAGGGGACACCACUCACACUGCAGUGCACCACUAGUGGCCUUCAGUGAUGCUGUCAGCUCAGACAAACUUCUCACCUAAAGCCUGGUUGGUUACAGGAAUCCAGAACACCCUCAGCUCCAGCUUCUCCCUCCAUCGGCCUCUCUCAUGAUGUGCUCUGCUCCGUCUCCUCAACCUCCCUUCACAUCCACCAGGAUUGGAGCAGCUGGCCAUGUCUCCUCUGAUGAUACUCCUCUCCAGGAGAGCUCUUUACCAUGGACAGACACCUCCAUCAUAGCUCCACGAUCAGGGCUCACUUGAGGAAAUGUCUUGUCCUCACCUUCCAAGAGCCACCCUGGGGGCAGAAUACACUUCCUGCACCAGAGCAGCUUGGUCAUGUGACUUGCUUCUGCCAGUGGAAGUGCAAAUGCCACAAUGGAACAACAGCUUUAAGAGCAGGUAGCAGGAUGAAGAAACGACUGAAGGAACCUGACUUCCUACCAUGAAAAAGGUCUGGUGUGAAAGAAAGCAAUACCUGUGAAAAGUCAAACAUCUCAUCACAUACAAACCAAAUCUUCCCAGGACCUAUUAAAAUGUAGCUGUAUUCUUGGUGAACUGUCUGCCUGUGCAGUGAAGGGAAAAUGGGGCAUCUACGGAAUGCAGAAAGCCUUUUCUUUCAGGUAUUCACCAAGAACCUGGCCAAUGCCACUCCUGGCUGGCGUGUUUGAGUGUUAGAUCUCGGUGAGUAGAAGUUACAGAAGCAUGCAACGAAACCAAGUAUUUGGCUUUGGCACAAGAGGGAACCAACGGAUAAUUGAGGGUGAGAAAUGGUCUAUAACUUUUCACCCCCGUGGUGAUGAACCUAUAAUUCCCAAGUUGUUUGUGUAAUUUUCUAUUUCUACCACAUCAGUGACAAAUAUUAUUUUGUACUGCGUGUUCCUUGUGGAUUGUUUUUUUUCAUCAGCAGGGUCCAAUUAAGAUGCCUGAAAGGAAAAUAACAUACCUGGGGCCAUCAUACCUAGCGAGAAACGCUGCGGAUGCACCCAGGAGGAAAAAUAGAGACUUCGCUGGAAGCCGUAGAGUUCCUCCUGCAAAACACUGCUCUGGUAUCGAUAGACUUACAAAUGUGUGUCAAAUGAUCUCACUAGAGGAAAUGCUCAGACGUUCAAAUUUGACGUCAAGCUGUCGAGGAACCCUUUGUGUUUGGCAUAGGUCCUGAGGCUGCAAAAGUUCUCCACAGAAGGCUCUGAUAGUGGCUGUUUUCCCUCAUUUGACUGAGCCUGUUUAAAUUCAGGACUAUACUUAGACAACUAUGUUUCGUAAUGGUAUUAGGUGUCAGAGUUCUAUAUUUUAAAAUUUAUUUAGUGUAAGAGGUGAUUUUUUUUAACUUCUAUAUGAGUUACACAGCUUUCGUCAGGAGUGGGGGAGCCACUCUUUCCAAAUGCAUCUCUGAGGAUAAUUUAUUCAAAGAAUGUCUCUUGACAUGUGAUUCCAGGUUUUUGGUGUUUGCUGUUUUCAAAUCACUUUUACUCAGCAAACACUUACUAAAUUGUUGACUGUGCGAAGCUCAAUGUGAGGUGCUGUUUACAGGAUGUUAAUGACCUGGAAGUAAUUCACCUUGACAGAGGCCAACACCCUUUGAUUAUAAAAACUCUCAGAAAACUAGGACUAUAAGGGAACUCCUUCAACAUGAUAAAAGACAUUUAUAAAACAAUAAACCAAAAAGAGUCACAGCUAACAUUAUACUUAAUGGUAAAAGACUGAAAGCUUUCCCCAUAAAAUCAGGAAGAGGACAAGGAUCCCCACUUUUACCACUACUAUUCAACAUUGUUUUGGGAGUUCUAGCCAGAGCAAUUAGACAAGAAAAAUAAAAGGAUCCAAUUUGGAAAGGAAGAAAUAACCCUAUCUCUAUUCACAGAUGACAUGGUCCUCUAUAUCGAAAAUCCUAAAGAAUCCACAAGAAUACUGCUAGAGCUAAUAAGCAAAUUAGCAAAAGUGCAGGUGCUCCAUUUUUUGGUCAUAGUUUAGUACUUUAGUGUCCUUACUGAUUAAAUCUAAUGGCUUGUCCUCAGAGCAAGAUUUAAUGUUUUAAAAUGUGAAUAUGGAAGGUCUCUUAUUGUGUGAUCAGAAAUAAUUUCAUUUACUGCCCCCAUAUUCAGCUUCAUGUGUGAAAUUCUCAUGAUAUUAUUUUGGCAGUGGGUCAAAUUUUGGUUAAAUUCCAAACACUUAUAAAACUAGUAACACAUCAAGUUUCAUUAUGUCUGGGAAACAAUUCAUUUAUUAGGUGAUCUCCUGAGAGCAGAUGAUACCGCGUAAAAAAACUAGAGGGAGAAGAGUGAGGAUUGCCUGCAAAGUGGAGUCUGGUGGGAAGGACAGAGAGAUGACAGGGGCUUUAAAGGAAGGUGAAGAAAGAUGGGGCAGAGGAACCAAGUAAAAGAUACUGUAGACCUUGCCUAUUCGUUAUAAUAGCCGUGAGCGGCAUCUGACUAUUCAGAUUUAACUACAAUGAAAAAUUAAAUUCCUUAGUUGCAUUAGCCACAUUCCAAGUGUUUGGUUACUACAGGUGGCUGGGGACUACCAUAUUGGACAGCGUGGCUAUGGAACAUUUUUAUCCUUGCAGAGAAUCUGUGGGACAGGGCUGCUUUGUCCUAUUUCACUCAACAAUACAUAGUGAAUACAUUCUCUUGUCAAAACGAUCUCAAAUUCACUGUUUAGUGAUUGAAUAGCAUUUGAUAUAUUAAUAGACCGUGAUUUUUAAAAAUCAAUCAUUACAAAAAUAGCUUUUUUGUAGCUUUUUAUCAUAAAUAGACCUAUGAUUUAAAAAAACCUUGUAGCAGAAUUUUUGUGCUCAUCUUAACUUACUUACUUAGAAUAAAUUUUUAGAAAUAAAAUGCUUGGAUCAAAUGUUAUAAACAUUUUUUUUAAGGCUUUUGAUAUGUGUGGCCAAAUUCCUGUCAGAAACUUUGUCUGUUUACAUACCAUAAGCAUAAGUGACAGGAGACUCAUUUAAUUUUGAAAUAAAUAGAACUAUGCCCUAAAGCGCAAAAACAAAACAAAACAGAGCAGCCCCAGAGCUGCUGAAAAACGGAACUUCAAUUGAAAAAGAGAACUUCAAAUUUGGGUAGGAAUAGCUGUGAGGAUUUAAGCCAAUAUGCAACAACAAAAAAUAAUAAUUAGUGACCAUUUUUACAGCAUUCCUGUGUGGGGGGCACUAUUUAGGCAUUUUGUAUGUUGACUCCAUCUUCAGUAGCCUUGGGAGUCAGGUCCCACCAUUACCGCAUUCAUCUAGAUAGAGGAAAGGGAGGCGCCUAGAGUCAAGCAACUUGCCUGAGAUCACACACUAAGCCCCAAAGCUAGGAUUUGAAUUCACUUGGGUUCAUCCAGACUGGUGAGCGUUCAGCAGUCCAUGCCUUUAACCACCAUACUCCAUUGCCUCGCAACCAUUUUAUUCAGAUCCCAGUGGACUCAAAUAUUGUGGGUUGAAGUGUGUCUCUCAGAAAGAUAUGUUGAAGUCCUAAGCUCCAAUACCUCAGAAUGUGACCUUAUUUGGAAAUAGGGUCAUUGGAAAUGUAAUCAGUUAAGAGGAGGUCAUCCUCCAGUAGGGUGGACUCCUAAUUCAAUAUGACCAGUGCCCUGAGAAGAAGAUGGCCACGUGAAGACACAGACACACAAGGAGAACACCCUGUGAUGACAAAGACAGAGAAUGGAGUUAGGGCAACUGCAAGCCAAGGAGCACCAGAUGGCCAGCAAAUCACCAGAAAGAAGCUCGGAAGAGGGAAGGAAAGAUACUCCUCCAGGUUUCAGAGGGAGCACGGCCUUGCUGAACCCAAAGUUCAGACUUGUAGCCUCCAGAACUCUGAGACAUUCCUGUUGUUUUAAGCCACUAAGUUUGUGGUACCUUGUCACAGCAGCCUCGGGAAACUGGGCCACCAAGUAACUUAGAAAGACAUUUCAGUGUCUGACCAGACGCCCAGUUAGUCCACGAGCACGUCUCCUUUACUGAUCAUUUUGCCCCACUAUUACAUCUGUCAGAUAACUACUUGGUGCCCAAUCAAGGGUCCGAAGGCCAGAAAUAAUGUGGUUGCAGUUGUGCCUGGCUCUUGGAAAUACCAAAGAACACUCUGACUGACUCACUCUGACUCUUUUAUUGAAUCUGCCAACGCUGUAUUCACUUUCUGGGAAGCUAAUAAUUGUAUAUUUUUGUUCAUUUUGGAGGGGCAAUGAUUCACUAAGACAGCGUGACCCAUGCUGGUAUCAUGCAGUGGCGUUUAGAUUAGUCUACCUUGUAGGAAGAAGUUUAAGGUUUAAACAACAGUCACUUAUUCAUGAA